rnacentral:rRNA from 1 species
UGGGGAAUCUUCCGCAAUGGACGAAAGUCUGACGGAGCAACGCCGCGUGAGUGAAGACGGCCUUCGGGUUGUAAAGCUCUGUUAUUCGGGAAGAACGAUUCGUUUGUGAACAAUGAACGGAAGUGACGGUACCGAAAGAGAAAGCCACGGCUAACUACGUGCCAGCAGCCGCGGUAAUACGUAGGUGGCAAGCGUUGUCCGGAAUUAUUGGGCGUAAAGGGUGCGCAGGCGGCUUUACAAGUUGGAUGUGAAAUAUUGUGGCUCAACCACAAACGUGCAUCCAAAACUGCAAAGCUUGAGUUAAGGAGAGGUAAGUGGAAUUCCUGGUGUAGCGGUGGAAUGCGUAGAUAUCAGGAGGAAUACCGGUGGCGAAGGCGACUUACUGGACUUAAACUGACGCUCAGGCACGAAAGCGUGGGGAGCAAACAGG